GAUGAACGCUAGCUACAGGCUUAACACAUGCAAGUCGAGGGACCGGCGCACGGGUGAGUAACACGUAUCCAACCUUUCCUUUACCCGGGGAUAGCCUUUCGAAAGUAAGAUUUAUACCCGAUAUCUAGGCUGGGGAUGCGUUCCAUUAGGUUGUAGGUGAGGUAACGGCACACCAAGCAUUCGAUGGAUAGGUGUUCUGAGAGGAAGGACCCCCACAUUGGAACUGAGACACGGUCCAAACUCCUACGGGAGGCAGCAGUGAGGAAGAUAGGUGAAUGGGAGUUAGCCUGAACCAGCCAAUUAGCUUGAAGAAGGAAGGCUUAUAGGUCGUGAACUUCUUGUAUAUAAGAAUAUGUAUUAUAUGAAUAAGGAUCGGCUAACUCCGUGCCAGCAGCCGCGGUAAUAC
rnacentral:rRNA from 1 species